UACAGAGGUCCCAAGCGUUGUUCGGAAUCACUGGGCUUAAAGGGCGCGUAGGCGGGCUGUCAAGUUUGGGGUGAAAUCCCGCGGCUCAACCGUGGAACUGCCUCAAAUACUGACGGUCUCGAGGGAGGUAGGGGCGAGCGGAACUGAUGGUGGAGCGGUGAAAUGCGUUGAUAUCAUCAGGAACUCCGGUGGCGAAGGCGGCUCGCUGGACCUUUUCUGACGCUGAGGCGCGAAAGCUAGGGGAGCAAACGGG
rnacentral:rRNA from 1 species